rnacentral:rRNA from 1 species
UCCUGGCUGUAAACGAUGGGCACUAGGUGCUGGGAGAUUCGACCCUUUCAGUGCCGCAGCCAACGCAUUAAGUGCCCCGCCUGGGGAGUACGACCGCAAGGUUAAAACUCAAAGGAAUUGACGGGUCCCCGCACAAGCGGUGGAGCAUGUGGUUUAAUUCGAUGCAACGCGAAGAACCUUACCUGGACUUGACAUCCCGCUGAAAGCUUAUGGAAACACUAGCCCUCCUUCGGGACAGCGGAGACAGGUGGUGCAUGGCUGUCGUCAGCUCGUGCCGUGAGGUGUUGGAUUAAGUUCCGCAACGAGCGCAACCCUCGCCGUU